GUGGUGGUGACUCAAUGGUAGAGUAUUUACCUAGCAGGUGUGAGGUACUGGGUUCUAUUCUCAGCACCACA
rnacentral:tRNA from 1 species